AGAAACGCCUAUCAUAUCCAGUACCUGAGCCAUUUAUGAGCAUUAGUUUUAGCCAAAACUUGAGAAGCCCUAGCUUCAAGAGUGUUCAACCUGGCCAUGUAGGAAUGGGGCAACAGUCAUGUUAUACAGACAACAUUGGUGGAGAGAUUUCUCCAUCUUCGACCACUGAUCUGAGAAGGUGGCUUAGAUGAGUCAAACUGUAGAAAGUAAUCAUCAAGGAAUGAAGAUACUGACGAUGAAACUAAUAAACCUAGUUAUCAUCUUUCCAUACACUAGCGAAUAAAGCCUACGGGAACUUGAGAUGAUGUUGUGUGGGUGGGGUGGGGGAGAAUCGGUAUUCUGUAUCCUGGCAUAUUUUCCAUUCUUAUAAGCUAAGUCUAGUUAAAACCAUAUUCUCUUAACAUAAAUGUAUGAAGUUCUCCUUGUACUCAUUGUCAGUUUUAGAUCUCCUCAAUUCUGCUUUACUUUCCUGCACUCCCCUGACUACCAAAGUCAAAUUUAUUAUAAUUGCACCUUAUGGAGAUCAUCACUCUAAGCAUGAUUAGCCAAUAAAGGAUUUUGCACUCCUUUAUCCUCUAACUAGAGUCACAAAUAAAGAAUUUGGAUUACAGAGCUGUAGUAUAAAAAAAAAAUUACUAUUAUAAGCCAAGCACACUUUAGUCUUUAAGUAGAAAUCAAACUCUCUUGCAGAAAGGGUACAGUUUCAACAUAACGUUGCAAAGCACGAUAUGCACAAGACUGCUCCUAAGUAACCACAUCGAUCUUAUGAUCAAAGAAAUUUGUAAAAACAACUAAUCAAACAAUAAAGGUUCAACAUUUAGAAGCAAUAGUGCAAUACUAGCAAAUGACUAUGGAUGGGGAGCCUAAAGAUAAUAAAUGGUUCCUUCUCUAGGAAAAAAACAGGUCCAACAUCUACCAAACUAAUAUAAAACAGAAUCAUAUACUCCUUUCACAUCCUGCAAGUAAUUUGGUAAAUUGGUCUAUCUUCUUUCUUUUCUGCUCUUCUUGCAUUUCCCUAGCCCUUACACAAUGACUUUAAUUACAAGCUUUAGUGCAAGUACUAUUCUUUCUUUCUUCUUUGUUUUUUGUAAAAAAAAAAUUACUUUUGCGGCACCAUUAUGACUUGACAUAUCUUUUUCAUUAUUCUGUUUUUUGGGCUAAUUCAAUAAAUUCUAGUCCAAUCACUUGACAAUAUUCCUUAGUGAUUUGCAUCAAAAUUUUCAUUGGAAAUAUUCUUAAUCUACAAAAAAGUUGUCUAAUUUUUUUAUUUUUAAUAAAGAUAAGAAAGUAUAAUAAAAACUAAAUAUAGUAUGGGCUCUUAAGAAGAAGUAUAACCUUUCAAUGGUUAGGGUGAUACUUUUUAACUAUGUAUUUUCACUUUUAUAUUCUACACGGUUCUUUAAUUUAGUAGUCAUCUUACGCUUUUAUAUUUUAAUCUUUUACUUNNNNNNNNNNNNNNNNNNNNNNNNNNNNNNNNNNNNNNNNNNNNNNNNNNNNNNNNNNNNNNNNNNNNNNNNNNNNNNNNNNNNNNNNNNNNNNNNNNNNCUAGUUUGAGGUCGCAUUUCAAGCCGUCGACCUCUGGAUUGCCGAUUGCGACGUACUCCCUGUGGAGAAUUCCCUAGACGGCAGCAUUCACCGGAACUAUGACCUCCUCCGGCAUCGUCUCCACAUCGUCGGCGAAGUCCAACUCCCCCCCGUCCACCACUGCCUCCUAGCCCUCCCUGGUGUCCGUAAAGAAUUCCUCACUUGCGUAAUCAGCCAUCCUCAGGCUCUCGCGCAGUGCGAGCACACAUUAACGAAGCUUGAGGCUAUUUUGCAGAGUAGAAAGGAAGAUGCUUUCAUGCGUGAAACUUCUCUGGCUAAUUCCUUCUCCCAACAGGUUCAUGACACUCUCUAAGUCAAUCUUUCUGUAAAUUCACUCUUAAUUUCGAGUUCAAUCAACUCACAUGUUCAUUAUAUUUUACAACCGUACGAAGGUGUGGAUGUCUGGGAAGAACACGACUACUGGUGAUGAGAAAGAUAAUGGUGAAAAAAUAAACUGGCUUGAUCAAUGGAUGUCAACGAAGCAAUGGGAGAUUAACAGCAGAGCUUCCAUUGAUAUAAAAUAACCUGCAAGGACAGGUGAACUCCACGUAUCCAGGCCUUAUUUUUACUCAGCUUCAAGAGUCGUGAAAUCGCAAUAUAUAAAGCAACACCAAAGACAGCCAAACCCACAUCCUAUGGUUUCACCCCGCUACAUAGAGCCUUACAGUCCCUCUCUUCAAUCACCUGUAACUGCUUUGUAUAAAAUAAAAUCAUUGCAGGUGCGUUCAGCAAGCCCCCAUUGCCCAAAAGAAGACGAGCUACUCCACAAGAAAUACCCCAAAUCUACGUUCUACACCCCAGAUCAAUGGUGGUGCAUCUCGCUAUAGCAUUGGUGCAAAUGAUGGUACAGUUACUGCAGCAAUGCCCAAUUACAUGGCUGCCACCGAGUCGUCAAAAGCUCGUGUUCAGUCACAAAGUGCACCAAGGCAGAGCCGCCCGUUAACACCAAAAAAGGAGCAAAUUGUGGCAGCAAAGUAGCGCCUAUUGAAACAACUCGGGUCAAAUCCCGAGUCCAAAACAAAUCUCGGGUCAAAUCCCAAGUCCGAAUCGAAUCAAAUCCAUCAAAAUAAGGCCUCAAACUACUGGCCUAAUAAUAUCUUCUUGGGUCAUCAUAGCCCACCACAGGCUCCCAAAAGGUCAUGACUUGAAGGUACUAUUCGUAGUAACUUAUUUCCUUAUAUGCAGACAAAUUUUUCCCCUAUCUUUCGAUAUGGGACUGGAGUGUUACAAACUCCCCCACUUAAAUUUCUGACGUCCUCGUCAGAAUCCGAUCACAAUUUCUGACGUCCUCGUCAGAAUCCGAUCACACACACGGCCCAAAGAUCUUUGCCUCUCUAGUCAUUGUGGGAUAAUACCAGCUAGCUUCGUGUCCCCACCUCCGGACCUCCAUCUCUCCAUUGUGGGAUAAUACUAUCAACUUUUGUGUCCCCACCUCCGGCAACCCGAUCGGAUGACCCGACCCAAGCUUUCGAGAGUCGGCUCUGAUACCAUAUGAAACAACCCGGGUCAAAUCCCGAGUCCAGAAUAAAUCUCGAGUCAAAUCCCAAGUCCGAAUCGAAUCAAAUCCAUCAAAAUAAGGCCUUAAACUACUCGCCCAAUAAUAUCUUCUUGGGUCAUCUUAGCCCACCACAGGCUCCCAAAAGGUCAUGACUUGAAGGUACUAUUGGUAGUAACUCAUUUCCUUAUAUGCAGACAAAUGUUUUCCCUAUCUUUUGAUAUGGGACUGGGGUGUUACACCUAUCAUAUCCAGUACCUGAGCCAUUUAUGAGUAUUAGUUUUAGCCAAAACUUGAGAAGCCCUAGCUUCAAGAGUGUUCAACCUGGCCAUGUAGGAAUGGGGCAACAGUCAUGUUAUACAAACAACAUUGGUGGAGAGAUUUCUCCAUCUUCGACCACUGAUCUGAGAAGGUGGCUUAGAUGAGUCAAACUGCAGAAAGUAAUUAUCAAGGAAUGAAGAUACUGACGAUGAAACUAAUAAACCUAGUUAUCAUCUUUCCAUACACUAGCGAAUACAGCCUACAGGAACUUGAGAUGCUGUUGUGUGGAUGGGGUGGGGGAGAAUUGGUAUUCUGUAUCCUGGCAUAUUUUCCAUUCUUAUAAGCUAAGUCUAGUUAAAACCAUAUUCUCUUAACAUAACUUUAUGAAGUUCUCCUUGUACUCAUUGUCAGUUUUAGAUCUCCUCAAUUCUGCUUUACUUUCCUGCACUCCCCUGGCUACCAAAGUCAAAUUUAUUAUAAUUGCACCCUAUGGAGAUCAUCACUCUAAGCAUGAUUAGCCAAUAAAGGAUUUUGCACUCCUU
rnacentral:lncRNA from 1 species